rnacentral:SRP_RNA from 2 species
UCCGGGAACCGGGCGGCGGCAGCGCCGCCAAUCCCGCCAGGUCCGAAAGGAAGCAACGGUAACGGUUGGUGCCGGGUGUCCGGUUCCCCAAAGG